rnacentral:sRNA from 1 species
GCUGGGCAUGGUGGUGCAUACCUGUAAUUUCAGCAACUCAGAAGGCUGAGGCAGGAGGAUUACAAGUUCAAGGCCAGGCUGGGCAACUUAGUAAGACACUGUCUUAG